rnacentral:lncRNA from 1 species
ACAUGAUGGAUAAAGGCAAAAAGAUAAAGAAGUUUGAGUGGGACUUCUGUCCUGAUAUCAGACAACAACUGUAUAUAUUUGAGCUCAGUACCUACUCAGUAGUUAUGGCGAAUGCACAACUAAUAGAGAUGAACCUUCGCAUCUUUCCUCCAACAAUGGGCAAUUCCAAACCCUCAGUUUCACACUGCAAACCAGCACCUACUGCACUGAUUUAGCAGACCAAGAGAUAAGAGACUUAGGCCUGUGACUCAAGCUCCUUAUUAGGUUCUGGUAACAAGACGCGGUAGGAUUUGUCAGUAUUAUGGCAAGAUCAUGGGGACCGACCCUACUAUUGCCUCAAUAAUACCUUCCGUAUAUGUGGAAGUGCCCAGUACUACGCGAGAGAGUGCUCGUGAAAUCAAAAUCAGACCAAAUCUCUAAUUUAAGGCAGAGCCUACACCUUCACCCAGUAGGAUACUGAAGCCAACCCGGAUGUGAUACAUGGUACAUACACUAUCUGUAAUCACCUUGCAUAUGUUUUAAUUGAUAUUGAUGCUUCACAUUCUUUUAUUUUACAU